rnacentral:pre_miRNA from 1 species
UAAGUACUCCCUCCGUCCAAAAAUACUUGUCCUAAAAAUUGUUAUAUCUAGAUCUAUUUUAAUUAUAGAUAUAUCCAUUUUAUCUAUUUCUAAGACAAGUAUUUUCGGAUGGAAGGAGUACUUG